ensembl:lncRNA
GGUUACUUGAAGCCAGCGGGGAGAAUCUGGACAGAGAGAGUGGACUGCCAGACCUUAGGGAGAGAAUUCUUCUUCCAUGGAGAUGAGAAUCGGGACUGAGGACAGAGCUGGCUGGUUUUGAACAUAACUGCCAUUGUGUGGCCUGGAGGGACCUCGAGUGUCUUGUAUCCCACACAAUUCCACCUCUGAUAACCAAGGAACUCACUUUACAGCAAAAGAAGUAUAGUGCUGGGCUCUUGCUGACAAAAUUAGCUGAUAUUACUGUGUAACCCACCACUUGAAGCUUGACGGAACCACAGAAUGACCUUCUAAAGACCGCUGGGAAAUAACGUCCUAAAAGUUUGGGGCUCCUGUCCUACAGACUGUGGCUUUCUGCUACCGCGUGUGAAGGGUGUGUUACAAUUUAGGUCUCAAGUGAGAGUGUGACUGUAUUGACAUCUCCUUACCACGACAUGCCAGUUUAUGGGACUUUGUGUCUCAGUGAUGUUGGGGAUGAGAGUCCCUUCAUCUCAACGAAGGGCAAGGUGGAUGCAAAAGGGGUGGACCAUGCAGGUUACUCUCAGCAUCCCUCACCUUCCCUUCCCCCAAUCCACUCACUGUCCUUCUCUAGGCCCAGGGAGGCUGAGCCCUACAGACCACCUCACCCGGGCUCCCUUGCCCUCUGGUUUCUGGUUGGGUUUGGUCAAUGGAAGUUACUGGCAAAAGAUUAGAGAGUGAGAGGAGCAAAGUCAGAGAUUUCUUCCUCUCUCCCUCUUUGCUUCCGCACCACUGGCUUAGCUGUUCCAUGACUUUGGUUUCCGCCAGGCAGCUCCUCUGCCCUGAUUUCAGCUCUCGUUAGAUUCAGCAAAACCAUUUUCCUCCUC